CAGGCGGUUUGUUAAGCGAGAUGUGAAAGCCCCGGGCUCAACCUGGGAACUGCAUUUCGAACUGGCAAACUAGAGUGUGAUAGAGGGUGGUAGAAUUUCAGGUGUAGCGGUGAAAUGCGUAGAGAUCUGAAGGAAUACCGAUGGCGAAGGCAGCCACCUGGGUCAACACUGACGCUCAUGUACGAAAGCGUGGGGAGCAAACAGGAUUAGAUACCCUGGUAGUCCACGCCGUAAACGAUGUCUACUAGAAGCUCGGAACCUCGGCUCUGUUUUUCAAAGCUAACGCAUUAAGUAGACCGCCUGGGGAGUACGGCCGCAAGGUUAAAACUCAAAUGAAU
rnacentral:rRNA from 1 species